rnacentral:rRNA from 1 species
AUUGAACGCUGGCGGCAUGCUUUACACAUGCAAGUCGGACGGCAGCGCGGGCUUCGGCCUGGCGGCGAGUGGCGCACGGGUGAGUAAUACAUCGGAACGUGCCCAGUAGUGGGGGAUAGCUCGGCGAAAGCCGGAUUAAUACCGCAUACGACCUGAGGGUGAAAGCGGGGGACUUUAGGGACUCGCGCUAUUGGAGCGGCCGAGGGCAGACUAGCUAGUUGGUGGGGUAAAGGCCUACCAAGGCGACGAUCUGUAGCUGGUCUGAGAGGACGACCAGCCACACUGGGACUGAGACACGGCCCAUACUCCUACGGGAGGCAGCAGUGGGGAAUUUUGGACAAUGGGCGCAAGCCUGAUCCAGCAAUGCCGCGUGUGUGAUGAAGGCCUUCGGGUUGUAAAGCACUUUUGGCAGGAACGAAAAGUGCCGUGCUAAUACCACGGUACGAUGACGGUACCUGCAGAAUAAGCACCGGCUAACUACGUG